rnacentral:rRNA from 1 species
CGCGUAGGUGGUUUGUUAAGUUGGAUGUGAAAGCCCCGGGCUCAACCUGGGAACUGCAUCCAAAACUGACAAGCUAGAGUACGGUAGAGGGUGGUGGAAUUUCCUGUGUAGCGGUGAAAUGCGUAGAUAUAGGAAGGAACACCAGUGGCGAAGGCGACCACCUGGACUGAUACUGACACUGAGGUGCGAAAGCGUGGGGAGCAAACA